UAGAAAUGACAGUCUGAACAAGUGUAACAUUUCACUGAAACAUUGCAUCUAGAAAUGUCAGACUGUCUGUAUUGCUGAAUGCAAUGAAACUGUGGAAGGAAAUGUGUACUUUUCUCCGUCCUCCAGGCUACUGAGACUGCUGCUGGCUUGCUCAGUGACAUUGUGGUAAAUGAACUGAAGUUGGAGUUCCACAAAACUGCCGUGGCCAGGGUUAGGGUUAUGAGAAUGGCUGUUAACAUGAAAGGAAACUGUUCAGGCAAGAAUUUUCUUUACAUCCACAUGCAUUUCUUGCACCCUCUGGCUGUCACACAAUCACAAUCUAGUAAUUGCUGAUGCAAACUAACUUUUCAGUAGAUGCUGUUUCAUUCUUUGGUAAUCUGCAAUGAAUGUACACUGUUUACAUUCUAACUCUAGUACAAACUAUUUUGGCAUGUGUUGGGUCUAACUGUAAAGCCACUUGGACCAGGUUGAAGUGUAAGGAGAAAGUGUCAAAGCAGUGUGAUUUGAAGUGGGUGCACUUUGCAAUGCCUUGGUUUCAGUGGCAAAACUUACAAAAGGCAAGGAUCCUAAGGCAUUUCUGAAGCAGCAUUGCUGAGCAGUACAAUAAGUGUUAAAGUCAACUUUUAACACUCUUGUUGUUGCACUGUCAUUUGAGAAGGACUGGUUCACUCCGCUUACAGCUCACAGUGCUACUUUUGGCUUCCUCAACAUACAGGAACUCUUGGUAGUUACUGAAAAUAUUUCAAUUGUCUGUUAACCCACUUUGCAUUUGCUGAUAUUGAUGCAGUACAGCUGUAUGAGGAAUUAAACACUGAUAAUCCCUUUGGAGUAAUGUCAGUACUUGAUGUCCUUAAUGUAAUCGUGUAUUUGUCUCUUACUAGAGGUAGCGCUGCGCAUUUUGUUGGCACUGCAUGUGACAGUUGCAUCUGGGGAGUGAAGUUUCUCCAAACAAGUACAAUGUUACAAGGUAAACCUGUGGGAUUGGCUAUGAUCUGAAUUAAUAACUGCUCUUGCCAGAUGUUAUAUGCUGAUACAACUGAUUACAAGGCAUGAAAAGUGCAGCUUUUGUAAGUAGCUAGGUAGAGACUGAACAGUGUGCAAAGUAUGUAUGAUUUCACAUCUUAUGUACUCUAUAGUCUGAUCCUACAGCGGAAGGCAUAACGAUACUUUUCAAUGCCAGAGUUCCUGUAGGGCAGCAGCACAAAGUACUGUCAACUAGGCACUAUUCUGUACUACUGUAACUGGCUUACUUGAACUGCUAGGACAAAGUUGAACCCUAUUCUUCUGUCUGCUAAUGUUUCUGCAUGCAUAAUGGAAGUAGGGUCAUUGCCAGUCUAUCUGCCAGUUGCAGUAUACAGUUAACUGUGCCAACUGAACACUAGUUGCCUCAUGCAGACAUGACAAUACAAGUGUAACAUGUCACAUGAAACUGUCUGUUUUGUGAAUGCAAUGAAACUGGAAGGAAAGGGGUACUUUUUGUCCUUCCAUGUUACUGGGACUACUGGUGGAUUUCUCACUGACCAUGUUAAAUGAACUUAAGUUUGGGAAUUCCACCAGAUAACUGCAGAGGCCAGGGUUAUGACAUAUUGGCUCGAAAUAUGAAAGGAAACAUUCUGGUGUUGCAGGAAUCUUGUCUUUAAAUCCACAUGCAUUUUUGUACCCUCGGGCUGUCACAAUCUCAAUCUUGUAAAAAGUGAUGCUGCAAAGUCUUCAGUAGAUGUUUCAUUCUUUGGUAAUCUGCAACGAAUGUACACUUUUCAGAGGUACAAAAUAUUUUGUGAUGUGUCAGGUCUAUCUGUAAAGCCACUUUGUGAGACCAGGUGGAAGUGUAGGGUAGAAAGUGUCAAGCACCCUAAAGUGGGUGCACUUUCCAAUGCCUUGGUUUCAGUGGCAGAACUUACAAAAGAUCCUAAUGCAUAUCUGAAGCAGCAUGGCUAGCACAAGUGUUAAGUUUUUAAUAGCACUGGUGGUCUGGUAUGAUGCAUUAGUGAAGGUUGGAAAAGUCAGUAAACAUUUGCAAAGCUCUUCCAUGCAAAUUGAUCAAGCAGUGAUUCUGCUUGAUGAACUGAAAAGUGUUUUAACAUAAUACAGGGCCACAAGGUACAAAAUGGCAAAAGUAACUACUACUGAGCUAGCAGAAGCACUGGAGGUAGAAUUCCAGUUUCCUGGUGCAGAUGAGGUGAGACCCAGGAAAGCGGAGGCUUUUAUCAACCAAAUGACUUAGUCCUGAACAGAAUAAAGUCAACUCAACACUCAUGUUGAUGCAGUCAUCUGUGAAGGACGGGUUCACUCAAUGUCCAGCUCAGUGCUACUUUUGGCUUCUCUACAACAUACAAGAACUCUUGGUAGUUACUGAACAUAUUUCAAUUCUGUCUGUUAACCCAGUUGGAAUCUGCUGAUAUUGAUGUAGUACAGCUGUAUGAGGAAUUAAACACUUUAUCACAUUACUCCAAAGGGAUUCAGUGCUGGAUGUCAAUGUAAUAAAGCGCGUAUUACUUGAGAUAUUCCCACAGGUAGUGGUAGCUCUGCACAUUUUGUUGACACUGCUAAUGACAGUUGCAUCUGGUGAGAGAAGCUUCUCCAAACUACAACUAACAUAUUUAAGUACUAUGUGACAAGAUAGACUUGUGGCCUUGGCUAUGAUCUCAAUGAAUGAGGUAUCUUGCCAGAUAGACUAUGGUGAUAUAAUUGAUUUGCUCAGUGCAAGGCACGAUAAGUGCAGCUUUAGUAAGUAGCUAGGUAGGUAAUGAAUGGUGUGCAAAUUAUGCAUGAUUUGACGUCUGAUUUAACCUGUAGUCAAGAUUUUACAGUGUAAGGCAUAACAAUUGUGCAGUAUGCCAGAGUUCCUGUAGGGAAGCAGUACAGCAAAGUUGGUAGGGAAGCUGAGUACUGUCAGUUGUGCACUUCUCUACUACUGAGACUGGCAAACCUGAAUGGCUAUAACAAAGUCAAACCCUGUUCUUGCAUCUGCUAAUGUUUCAGGGAAUUGGUUAUGGCUAGGCUUGUGUAGACCCUAGGGCCAAUCUUGGGUUCAUUGUGUAAUUAAAGGUGUAGUUGUAGAAUGCCAAUAGGGUCAGUGCCAGUCUUUAAUAAAUUACCAGACAAUGAUACACCACAUUUCAGAGGGAAUGUGCCAACUGAAAUCUCUAAGACUGCAGUAGACAUGAUUGUACAAGUGUAACAUUUCACUGUGAAACAUUGCAUAUAGAAAUGUACAUCAAAUGGCAGCAGGGGAAUAAAACCAAACUAUUACAAUGUCUGAAGCAUGAACCAGCUAAAUGAGUCUUCAAAUUACUCAAGUGUACCUGACAGUUUGGCAAUUUAAACAUUUUAAGUCACACAUUAAAUAGAAAUGUGUAGUAGCCAGCAAUGAAAUAAAAUCUGACUAUUUCAAUGUCUUUAACAUGAACUAUGCCUAACCUUUUCAAAAUUACUCAAGCAGACCAGACACUUUUUUUGUUCACGUUACACAUUAAUUGUGAAGUAUUGCAUAUAGAAAUGCAUGAAUAGCAGCAGAUAAAAUGUGACAAAUUUUGAUGUCUAACAUUGAAGUGCACCAACUGAAAUCUAAUGUCUUCAACUUAAGUGGACCUGACAGUUUGUACAAGUUAAUCACUUUUUACUGUUGAACACUGCAUUUAGAAAUGUACACCUAAUAGCCAGCAAAGGAAUACUUGAAUGAAUAUUGUUGACAUGAAGGGUGUCCAUUCACGUGGCCCUCACACAUUUCAUUGUGAAACAUGUACAUAUAGAAAUGUACAUCUAAUGGCAGCAGUGGAAUAAAACUCGGACUACAAUGUCAAGCAUGAACUGAACCAGCUAAAUGAAUGUCUUGAAGUUACUCAUGUGGACCUGACACUUUGCAAGUUAAACAUUUAACUGUCAAAUAUUGCAUACAGAAAUGUCUAGGAGCCAGCAAUUAAAUAAAAUCUGACAAUUUCAAUGUCUAACAUUAAUUGUGCCAACUGAAACCCAAUGUUUUAAAUCAAGCAGACUGGACAGUUUUUACAAGUGAAACACUUUUUAUUGUUGAAGACUGCAGUUGGAAAUGUUCAUCUGGUAGCCAGCAAAGGAAUAAUUAAAUGACAAUUUCCAAUGUCUUUCACAUGAAGUGACAAUUCAAGUGCACCUGGCAGUUUAUACAAGUGUCAAACAUGCAUAUAGAACUGUACAUGUAAUGGGAGAGCAAUGCAAUAAAGUCAUCUGACAAUUUAUGAACUGUAUAAAGUAAAUGUCUAGCAGCCAGCAAUGAAAUAAAAUCUGACUAUUUCAAUGUCUCUAGCAUUAAUUGUGCCAACUGAAACCUGUUUUCAAAUUGGUCAACCAGACCUGACAGUUUGUACAAAUGCAAAAUUUUACUGUCAAAGAUUGCAUAUAAAAAUGUACUUGACAAGUAAUGGAAUAAAUCAUUUGACACUA